rnacentral:piRNA from 1 species
UUUCGGAGCUGUGAGGCGACUGC